rnacentral:rRNA from 1 species
CCUACGGGAGGCAGCAGUGGGGAAUAUUGGGCAAUGGGCGCAAGCCUGACCCAGCAACGCCGCGUGAAGGAAGAAGGCUUUAGGGUUGUAAACUUCUUUUAAGAGGGAAGAGCAGAAGACGGUACCUCUUGAAUAAGCUACGGCUAAAUACGUGCCAGCAGCCGGGGUAAUACGUAGGUGGCAAGCGUUGUCCGGGUUUACUGGGUGUAAAGGGGGUGUAGCCGGGCUGACAAGUCAGAUGGGAAAUCCGGGGGCUCAACCCCCGACCUGCGUUUGAAACUGUUGGUCUUGAGUAUCGGAGAGGCAGGCGGAAUUCCUAGUGUAGCAGUGAAAUGCGUAGAUAUUAGGAGGAACACCAGUGGCGAAGGCGGCCUGCUGGACGACAACUGACGGUGAGGCGCGAAAGCGUGGGGAGCAAACAGGAUUAGAUACCCCAGUAGUC